rnacentral:rRNA from 1 species
AGUGAACGCUGGCGGUAGGCCUAACACAUGCAAGUCGAACGGCAGCACAGUAAGAGCUUGCUCUUACGGGUGGCGAGUGGCGGACGGGUGAGGAAUACAUCGGAAUCUACUUUUUCGUGGGGGAUAACGUAGGGAAACUUACGCUAAUACCGCAUACGACCUGCGGGUGAAAGCAGGGGAUCUUCGGACCUUGCGCGAUUGAACGAGCCGAUGUCGGAUUAGCUAGUUGGCGGGGUAAAGGACCACCAAGGCGACGAUCCGUAGCUGGUCUGAGAGGAUGAUCAGCGACACUGGAACUGGGACACGGUCCAGACUCCUACGGGAGGCAGCAGUGGGGAAUAUUGGACAUGGGGCGCAAGCCUGAUCCAGCCAUACCGCGCGGGUGAAGAAGGCCGUCGGGUUGUAAAGCCCUUUUGUUGGGAAAGAAAAGCAGCAGGUUAAUACCCCGCUGUUCUGACGGUACCCAAAGAAUAAGCACCGGCUAACUUCGUG